AUGGCGGUCCGAAACCCAUACUUUUCACUUUCGAACGGGUGAGUGUACUAUCACUUUGGAAGACGUCUAUAUGUUACUCGGCUUACCUUUUGGAGGUUCAAUUGUUACGGCUCCUCCAA
ncrna:Medicago truncatula miR2679b stem-loop (mtr-MIR2679b)